rnacentral:rRNA from 1 species
UAAUCGACUCUNGGCAACGGAUAUCUCGGCUCACGCAUCGAUGAAGAACGUAGCAAAAUGCGAUACUUGGUGUGAAUUGCAGAAUCCCGUGAACCAUCGAGUUUUUGAACGCAAGUUGCGCCCGAAGCCAUUCGGCCGAGGGCACGUYUGCCUGGGCGUCACGC